UGGCAUUACUAGUCCAAACAGAUAAUCUAACCUAUUUUGUUUCUAUUCCUGCCUGUUCUGUGUAGUAAUUACAUUGUCAGCUAUAUUAUUUUCUUAGAAAUCAGUAGAUCAUCUUUUCUUUUUUCUAAAGUUUUAUAUAAAAUAUAAAAUAUAAUUAUAUAUACAUAUAAAUAUUAUUUCUAGUAAUGUAUGCAUUAGUAAAAUUUGACAAUAUGUAUUACGUACGCAAGUAGAGAAACAUUGUAAUUAUUGAGAAUAUAAAAUGUAAAAAGAAUGAUGGACUUAAUAUUAGCAAGAAUUAUAGCCAAAAAUAAUAACAAAACUUUGUUAGAGGAAAUAUUACAAAAUAUAUAUCGAAAUAUACCAUUUCCAUUGUGCAAAAGAAUUGACUUAGGAGAAAAUAACAGUAGCUAUCAAUUAAAUUACAGAAACGUUUAAUUUUAAAGAGUUGUGUUAGAUAUUAAUGAAAGGACAAGAUUAUUAAUAGAUGAGAGUAAUAAUAAUCAUAACACUAAUGUGCAGAAUAAUCCUAGAUG